rnacentral:rRNA from 1 species
GUGUCAGCCGCCGCGGUAAUACGGAAGGUGCAAGCGUUAAUCGGAAUUACUGGGCGUAAAGCGCGCGUAGGCGGCUUCGUAAGUCGGGUGUGAAAGCCCCGGGCUCAACCUGGGAACUGCACUCGAUACUGCGGAGCUUGAGUGCAGGAGAGGAACGCGGAAUUCCAGGUGUAGCGGUGAAAUGCGUAGAUAUCCGGAGGAACACCGGUGGCGAAGGCGGCUUCCUGGACCGACACUGACGCUGAUGCGCGAAAGCUAGGGGAGCAAACGGGAUUAGAUACCCCCGUAGUCC